AUGGCCUACGAAGCUCGGCAUUUGCUCGGCGGCGGCGGCCUGGAUGAGUUGCAGCGGCUCUUCCUCGACGCCGGCCGCGUCUCCCUGCUCGCCGGCUGGGUGGUUGUCACCUACUCGUUCGGCAACCCGGCCGCGGACGCCGGGCAUGUCUUCCUCGGCUUCGCGCUCCUGCUCCUUGGCGUCCUCUUGCUGACGCUCUCGCCCGCAGCCUACCAGUUCCCCUGGGUUGCGCGGGUCGUCACCGUCGUGGCAAAAGCCGUCUUGAACCACCUCUUCGCGCCGGCAAACUAG
rnacentral:rRNA from 1 species